UGUUUGUGUUGGUGAGAUCAGGACGAUGGUGAGACGGCCUUUGCGGGAGUGAGAUAAACUCACGCACACCGAGCCCGACCGGCCAAGAUCCUGCGCAAACUAAAAGCGAUGACGUCCGUGGUGUCCAACUGUGAUUUUACCAUCGACACUACCUGGUCAGCGGUGACGGUUUUGGCUAACCUAGAUAGAUGUAGCCACAUAUAGUUUGUUCUUGGUAGUUGUGACACGGUUGGGAUCGACGUGGUGGUGGUAUCGGUUCCUGUUAUUAUUGGUGGUAGUGAAGGGCGAUUUCUUUGGUGAGUAUUGUUGGUGUCUGUAUUUACAGGGUAUAGUGGAGCAUUGUCAACAACAAUGGCUUCCGUGGAUGCAACAACGUCACGGAACAACCUUCUACGCUUUCCACUCGGGAGGGCAUCUGGGGGCGGUACGUUGAAGUGUUCGCUAGGAGCUUGGUGAGCCGCGGCAAAACUGGCAAAGCCCUCACGGAUUUCGUGCAUCACAGGCGGGACUAAAGCAGCUUUCAUCACCUCGACAGCGACAGUAAGAGCCGCCUUGAAGCCGACCUGCAUACCCGUUGUUUUGACUGCUUUACUAUGUGGGUUGCCAAGAGCAUUCGAACACCCUACACAGCUCCAAUGAAGAGAUGCCGUCCGUUUUACCUCUUCGAUCACAGUGAAAGUUGCCGUUGCAGAUAGAUGCCACAGGACUCAGGAACAAACGCAGGAAAUACAGCAAAGUCAGGAAUGGUUGUGACGAACAAUUGAAGGCAGGACUACCAGAGACAGCUUAAGUCACAGCUAAGCGGCAGUUUGACGAAAAUAAGGCCGAAACGACAAAAUAAUUCACGGAUUUACGCGGAGCACAGUGAGAAACACACUCUGUCGUCAGCUGUCAACUGUCAAUGUAUCCCCAGCCUGCUCCCAACUGCUUGAUACUCUCAGCUUUGUGGGACUAUCUCAGGUCAAUAAUAAUGUAAACAAUCAUGGGUCUUUACUUGAUCUUAUAUUCGUGAGCCCGCGUAUAAUUGAGAAUGGUAUGAGAAUUUUCCGUUCCAUAGAUUGUUUAACUGAGGAAGACCGAUACCAUCCGAGCUUGCUUCCGUACCCAGACUGCUACGGAAGUCACUGGAUCGAACAGCCUGAGACAUCUCGAUUUUAGAAAAGCUGAUUUCCCAAAAAUGAUUGACGCUUUUUCCAAUACUGACUGGUCAUUCCUUAAUUCUGAUAGCAAUCCCACCUUAUCAAUCGAUUCGGCAAUCGACUCCUUUCAAAUCAAGGUUGGUCUAGUCCUUCACAAAUGCUGCCCUACUUUACAAGAGCUCGCAGCUUCCGGUCCCCCGUGGGGCAAUAUAGAAUUAAAAAGACUUAAAUCUGCGAAAAAUAGAGCUUUACAUUGUCUCGUAAAGUCUAAUCUUCACUCCGACAGACUAUUGUUUAACA